GCAAACUUGGUCAUUUAGAGGAAGUAAAAGUCGUAACAAGGUAACCGUAGGUGAACCUGCGGUUGGAUCAUUAACAAAAAGAAAAUAUUCUUUUAACCUCCAUGUGCACCAUCUAACGUAUUUUUGGGUAGCUUUUUUUAAAAGAAACUACCCAAAAGGUUAAACUUUUUAACUUGAAAAUUGUCUUUAAACUUUUUUUUUUUUAAUUAAAAAAACAACUUUUGACAACGGAUCUCUAGGCUCUCGCAUCGAUGAAGAACGCAGC
rnacentral:misc_RNA from 1 species